rnacentral:tRNA from 1 species
UGGGGUGUGGCCAAGCGGCAAGGCACGGGACUUUGGAUCCCGGAUCGUAGGUUCGAAUCCUACCGCCCCAGCCA